AAAGUCGUAACAAGGUUUCCGUAGGUGAACCUGCGGAAGGAUCAUUAACACAUCUUACACAAAAACUUAUCCAAGGAUUUUCCUUUUCUUGGGUAUUUUUUUCACCCCCCCUUAAUAGCGAACUUUCGUUUGGAAAUGCUCCGUUCAAUGGCCAUUUCCGCUUUUUGUUUUUUUCUGUUUACCCUUUCUAAAACAAACCCCAAUUGAAAUUUUCUGACUGAAAUUUGUUUUCCUAUCGAAAGAUUCGAAAAUACACAUUGAAAAUGUUAAAAAAACAACUCUUAGCAACGGAUAUCUUGGCUCUC
rnacentral:misc_RNA from 1 species